GGGGAGCAUCUAUGAGGUGAGGUGUUGCCCGAUACAAUCUUCCCACAGUAAUACUCUUGUCAUAAUCUGCAAACUCUUGUCAUAAUCUGCUUGAGGUACUAGAGAGAGUUCUUCUAGUUGUUGAUCAGGAGGCACAUCA
rfam:Capsicum annuum cultivar Zunla-1 unplaced genomic scaffold scaffold1653, whole genome shotgun sequence